rnacentral:rRNA from 1 species
GAUAAACGCUGGCGGCGUGCAUUAUGCAUGCAAGUCGAACGGUUCUGAUUUUAUCAGGAUAGUGGCAAACGGGUGAGUAACACGUAAGUAACCUGCCCCUAAGUGGGGAAUAACCUCGGGAAACCGAGGCUAAUACCGCAUGUUGUGGUGGAGGUAAGGCUUCAUCACCAAAGCCUUCGGGCGCUUGGGGAGGGGCUUGCGGCCGAUUAGCUAGUUGGUAUGGUAAUGGCUUACCAAGGCGAUGAUCGGUAGCUGGUCUGAGAGGAUGGUCAGCCACAUUGGGACUGAGAUACGGCCCAGACUCCUACGGGAGGCAGCAGCAAGGAAUUUUGUGCAAUGGGCGAAAGCCUGACACAGCAACGCCGCGUGGGGGAUGAAGGCCUUCGGGUUGUAAACCCCUUUUCUCAGGGAAGAAUAAUGACGGUACCUGGGGAAUAAGCCUUGGCUAACUACGUGUCAGCAGCCGCGGUAAUACGUAGGAGGCGAGCGUUAUCCGGAUUUACUGGGCGUAAAGAGGGCGUAGGCGGCCUUUCAAGUCGGAUGUGAAAUCUCCCGGCUUAACUGGGAGGGGUCAUCCGAUACUGCUGGGCUAGAGGGCAGCAAGGGGAGGUGGAAUUCCCGGUGUAGUGGUGAUAUGCGUAGAUAUCGGGAGGAACACCAGUGGCGAAGGCGGCCUCCUGGGCUGUUUCUGACGCUGAGGCCCGAAAGUGUGGGGAGCGAACAGGAUUAGAUACCCUGGUAGUCCACACCGUAAACGAUGGACACUGGGUAUAGGGAGUAUCGACCCUCUCUGUGUCGAAGCUAACGCUUUAAGUGUCCCGCCUGGGGACUACGGCCGCAAGGCUA